AUGAGGGUAACACUUAUGCUACUCCUGACCCUCACGUUUCUCGUGCUACCAUCAGAUGCUGAAACAACUUGUACUUCCAGGGAUUGGCCCCCGGGGGGUACAGCGUGUGAUAGAAGCGAGUGUGAGGACAAAUGUAAAAACUAUUAUGAUGACUAUUACAAGCAUUCUACUUGUGUAGGUCUCUGUAGUUGGACUUCCAUCUGUACAGACAAUGGGUGCCAUUGCUCAAUUUGUGAUGAUCACAGCCAUCCAUUCGGGCACUAA
rnacentral:rRNA from 1 species